rnacentral:lncRNA from 1 species
CAGCACCACCUCCAGCAGGACCAGCGCGACCCCCAGAUCCCUGCACGGAGAAGGGAACAAGCUCAGUGUUGUUGCAAGCGAGCACAAACACAAGCACGUGAUGGACUUCCGCGGCUCAAGGUGACAAGGCGACUUCGGGAAAGUUGUUCCCCGCAGCCCCCCGGGCGGAUUUACUUACGGACGAACCAAACCACCGGCGCUGGGAAGCUGCGCGAUGUCCAUCUUCGCUCAUUCCCAGCCCGGGGGCUCCGCUCACGGCUUCCUCUCGUCGCCGGGCCGUCCCCUGCGAGCCGAGCCGAGCCGAGCCCGCUCCUGGCACCCUCCGGAGCUCGGCGAGGCGCUGCUGGGGGGGGGCUCGCAGCCGCCCUGCCCGGCCCGGCCCCUGCCCCGCUCCGCUCCUCUCCGCGACCUCCCGGGCGGCCGCGACGGUACGGGAUGAGGAAGCGACGCCUCUACCCCCCCGCCGCCCGCACCCACCCACCCAUGGCCGGCAGAGGAGGAGGAGAAGGAGGAGGAGGAGGAGGAGGAGGAACCGCGGGGAGCGGGCGAGGUUGCGCGCUCCCAGGGUCUCCGCCCGGGGGAGGAGAGGGGGCUGCCGCCGCCCAUCGGUUACGGCGAGGCGAGUCCCUCGCCCUGAAGGCAGCCGCGGCCGCCACGGAGGGGAGAAGCACGGCUGUGGGGCCGGCCCCGCGGAGCCCCCACGCCCAGCCGCCGGCACGGUGCGCGGCAGCAUGUGGCUGUGGCUGGGCUUCGGGCUGCUGCUCAGCGCAGAGCUCGACACCGUGGCCGCCGCGGGUUGUUCCGGUUGUGGAAAAUGUGACUGCAGUGGAGUAAAAGGGCAAAAGGUGAGUAUGUCAGCUGUCUCAGCUUCAUUAUCUCUCUUACUUAAACCACACAGUGUAUAAUCUACUGGGCGGCAGGUCAGCCGUGGGUUUCCCUGGGCAUUUGUAUCACCAUAGAACAUUGUCAGGCCCUUUAAGCAGUGUUUCCAAAAUGCUGCCGCCUCAGUAUCUGCAGUGGCAGGGGGCUGGAGGCUUGGGGUGGGAAAUAGCCUAAUGCCAUCACCGUUGGUUGAAGCCCCCAGCCUGGUGCUUAGCCAUGCCCUCUAUCUGUCCCCACUGAGCGUGAUGCUGACCCGUCAGCCUCACCUUUCUCGUGCCUCAUCUUUCCCAUGCCUCACCUCCAGACUUCCAGUGCAGAUCUAGGUUUGACAUUCUUGACCACCUUUGGGAGAGAGGUGAGCACCUCCAUUCAGAAAUGGUCCCCUCAGUGCUUUCCAGGAAGGCUGUGGGCUGUGAUGCAUCAUAAGCAACAUACCCUGACCAGGGGUCAGGUAACCCCAGAGGCAAUGACGUCCAGUAGGAAGAAGGAAGUUGAUAAUAAACUCAAAUACAGAAAAAUAUUUCA